GUGGUCCGUCAAUAAUCCUCAAAGAAGAAGAAGCUAAAUAAGCUAACGUUAGACAGUUAGCAUUUUCCUCAUCAAAUUUUCUGACCUCGUCUUUGUACAGUAGUGUAGACUGUCUCAUGAGUGUCUGUCUGAAACGGAGUGUUUAAAGGACAUUCUGUAUACAAACAACUAGUUUGCUACCUAAAGUAAAAAGGGAUGUCAAAGCGGCUGCGGAGCAGAGAGGUCUGCGCUGAUUGUAGCUCCCAGGGCCCGUGCUGGGCCUCAGUGAACAGGGGCGUGCUGAUCUGUGAUGAGUGCUGCAGCGUCCACCGGGGUCUGGGCCGACACAGUUCCCAAGUCCGACACCUGACCCAUACACCAUGGCCACCCUCCCAGCUACAGAUGGUUCAGAAAUUGUACAGCAAUGGGGCCAACUCCAUCUGGGAGCACAGCCUUCUGGACCCCUCGUCUAUCACAAGUGGGAAACGCAAGGCCAACCCCCAGGACAGAGUCCAUCCCCAUAAAACUGAAUUCAUCAAGGCCAAAUAUCAGAUGCUGGCGUAUGUCCAUCGAAUGCCCUGUCGAGAGGAUGACAGUGUCACCACAAAGGACCUCAGUAAGCAACUCCACUCCAGUGUUCGGACUGGGAACCUGGAGACGUGCUUGAGACUGUUGUCUUUGGGAGCCCAGGCCAACUUCUUCCACCCGGAAAAAGGAAACAGUCCACUGCAUGUAGCAGCUAAGGCAUGUCAGGUGUCACAAGCAGAGCUGCUGGCUGUGUAUGGGGCGGAUCCUGGUGCCCUAGACACAGGGGGUAAGACCCCUGUUGACUAUGCAAGACAAGCAGGCCACCAGGAGCUGGCAGACAGACUGGUAGAGAUCCAGUAUGAACUCACAGACCGCCUGGCAUUUUACCUCUGUGGGAGAAGGCCAGAUCAUAGGAAUGGACAACACUUCAUAAUCCCACAAAUGGCUGACAGAAAUGUCAGUCUGGAUUUGUCAGAAUUUGCAAAAGCUGCAAAAAAAAAACUCCAGUCUCUCACUAACCAUCAGUUUGAAGAGCUUGCCAUGGACGUUUAUGAUGAAGUGGACAGAAGAGAAACUGAUGCAGUGUGGCUCGUGACUCAGAACCACAGCACUCUGGUAACAGAUACAACUUUGGUGCCUUUCCUCCCUGUCAACCCCGAAUACUCAUCCACCAGGAACCAGGGCAGACAGAAGCUAGCAAGGUUCAAUGCACAUGAAUUUGCAACACUCGUCAUUGAUAUUUUAACUGAUGCCAAACGUCGGCAACGGGGGAACUCCUGUGAAAGUCCCAGGGAGGACAUAGAGCUCAUCCUGAAGGGAAUCGGCAGCCGACAUGGGAGUGAUAACCAGGAUAAUGAAGACCAACCAGAUUAUGACAGUGUGGCGUCAGAUGAAGAUCCAGAGCGGGAACCCGCCUCUGGGAAGAACGGGAAAGAUGACAGGACCAAGAGCUCGGAGUCGUCUGACCUGUCUGAUGGACCCAUCACAGUACAGGAGUUCAUGGAGGUGAAGAGCGCCCUCACAGCCUCCGAGGCCAAGAUACAGCAGCUGCUCAAGGUCAACUGUCACCUGAGUGAGGAGAUCCGGAUGAUGCAGAGCAAGCUGAACUCCCUGCAGACUGAGAACUCAACCCUGCAAUGGCAGGCCCCCAGGGGCUCGCAACACCCUCCGGACCCCUCUGGCCACCCCCCUGUCCACGGAGGCCGCCCCAUGUCCAUGUACGAGACAGGCUCGGGCAUGAGGCAGUACCCCCACAGGGGUGACCCUCCUUGCCGUGCCGACGGCCUCACCAUACAGCCCCUCCCUACAAACGGUUGCAGCCUAGAGGGACAGAGCAUGCUGGAGAGUGACUAUGACAACACACCAAACCACUCCGGACUGGAGGAGUCCGGUCUGAGCAGGAACAGCAGUUGGCUGGGGGACGGCAGUACAUCAGAUCAGGGGGAGGAUGAGACUGAGGCAGACUCCACCCUACCCUUCACCGAGGACGUCAUCUGUAAGACAGAGCAGAUCACCAAGAACAUCCAGGAGCUGCUGAGGGCCGCACAGGAGAACAAACAUGAGAGCUCCAGGCCAGGCAGUCUAGGUUGCUUCUCUGGCCUGCUGCCCUGCUGUGAGGGGGGUGGCCACGGACGUGUCUGUCUCUACAGCCUGAUGCCCUGCUCUGACAGGGCUGUCUCUCUACCCUGCUGCCCUGCUCUGAGAGUGCUGAAGAGACCCCCCCUGGCUCCUGGUACUCUGGCCUCUGUCCCUGUCUCCCAGGCACUGUCACGGUCUCCUGUCUGUGUGCUGAGGGGCAGGGCUUGUGUCAAACGCAGCUGGCAGAAAACAAAGAUUCCCUUAUGGAAUGCCAAAUAUAGGCCUACAGGGCUUUUACAUGUCAACACACAGGCUAUCCUUAUCUAGAUUUGUCUGUUUGGUUAAUAUUUGUGCUCUCAAUCUUGGAUUUUAAAGUUUAAAAAAAAAAAAUUAAAAAAUAGACAUUUUCACACUGGCAUUCAUUCAGUGAAUGAAUAUACAUACAGUCCACUUGAUUGUGUUGUCUUUAACACAAACCCUCACUAUUGGCCCCCCUUUGACUAAAGCUGUGUGGUAUUUGCUUAGCUUUUGUGCUUGUGUACCAAACCUCACUCUAGCUGGUGACCAAAGAACACCUGCCAAUUUGUAUGCGUCCUCUCAGUCACUUAGCUACUGGGUUAUAACGGAGGCAUUGUUAUUGAUUUGAAACGGUGGAAAGUUAUGAUGUAUUUCAUGACCUACUUUUUAAGCCAUGUGUUUUGUCAUUCAUUGUUGAUAUUGUCAUGGCUUAACAGCCUCCACUACAUUGUUGUCUAUGGAAUAAUACAGGACGUGUUCAAUUUACUCAAAUGGAGCACAUGGUUGCUAUUAAUGAACACUUAGUAUUCAGUAUACUCUCUAUUUUGUCUGCCAUUAGCCAGGGCUUGUCAUUCUCUCACUUGUCCACAAAUUAACCUCCACCAGGAUAUCACUGGCUGACUUUGCUAUUUUGAGAGGUGUUUCAUAUAGUAAGGCGGUCAAGAGCUUAGCAAGCUUCUGUAAACAUUCCUAAGUAUUCUACAUAUUUGUUUAACAAUGUUAUUGAAAAAAAACUGGGCCGGAGUUUUCUACUAACAUCUAUGUUGGAAAAAGGAUCACUCCCUUACUUGACAUUCUCUUUCUCCACCCCCCUCAGCUUUGUACCAUGCUCAGAAAGGAUCCAUGUGGCUGUGAGGGAGAUGGCCACUCUGUUUCCUAAGAGGCCGUACUCUGACACAGUGAGAGGGUCCCUGCGGCUGCUCACCUCCAGUGCCAGCCGGCUCCAGGGGGAGUGCCAGAAGGCCACGCCCCACGACCCUUGCCCAUCCGACAUGCAGCUGGUCACGCAGCAGGUCAUCCAGUGCGCCUACGACAUUGCCAAGGCUGCCAAACAACUCGUCACUGUGACAACCAAAGAAAACAGCAACUGAUUUUUAACCCAAAGACUAACAUCCCUCUUAGAUAUUUGAAUAUGUCAUUAUGGCUAAUUUCAAGUUAUCAGUGUUGCGUUAUGUUAUUAUUUGUAUGCCUCCAUUUUUAUUUAAAAUGCUUAAUUGGUCAUAGUAGAUUUCUAGUGAAGAACGUUUACAGAAAAUGUACCUUCCGAAACAUGGGUCAACCCAGGGAUUUGUCCAUGGGUUUGUCUGUUAAAUAUACUAAUAUUGCUAGAGUGUGACGACCUGCCUCUCUGAGCUUACCUUAUUGGAGACGUGCUAGUUACAUUGAAGUUACUAAACAGUUUUGCAACGUUACACAUUUAAACAUUUCUGUGGUUGCUGGGGUGCUUGUCCUUGACUGUCCAAAGGUUUCAAACAGCAUUUUAAGCACUUAGCUUUUAACUUCUUAUUCAACGCCAAACACAUUGGGAUUUUGAACAUAAGUUAGUGGAAUACUGCCUCAUGAGUCAUGAUACGUCCAUUACAAGGCUUUCGUCAAGGUAUUUUCCAUGAAUGCCAUUUCUAUGUUUUAUACUAAAGCCAUAAAGGUGAGGACAACUGCCAAGCCAGUUUUCCAUUGUUUUGUUUUUCUUUUUGUAGUUUGAGCAGAAGGUGAAGCCAUACCUCUAAUAUACAUGUACCUCAUACACAUGCCCAAUAUACAUUUUUAUUUAAUGUUAAAAAUAUAUAUAAUUAAAUCUCUCCCAAAGGGAUACUCAAAAUGGCCAACCCCAAUUCUAUAAUUUGUGUUAUUUUUUUAUGAAAAAAUGAAAAUGUACAAACAUAUUCUGAAUUCAUAGAACCCUAAUCUAUAUUAUAUUUAUGAAUACAAUAUCUCACACCUACCUAGCAAAAUAUUUAUUUUCAUAAAAUGUAUGUUUAACAGUUAGUCUCCUCAUAUUCCGUGCUGUUUGAAGACAUGCAAGAAGUUUUAAUCUUGGUGGUAUGUGUUUCCAUAUAUAUCCACCGGCAAUAAGUUGUGCUCGUGAUCUCUCUCUCUCUCUCUGUGUGGGUGUGGUGCUAAACCCAGUCUAUGCCUUUGUCCCAUGCCUUGUAUUAUCUUGAUUAUGCUGCUAAUGGUCAAACAUGUGCAACUAAUACGGUGUUAAGAUGUGUUAAAAGCAUUGGUUCUGUAUAUGUAAUAUGGACUAUUUUAUAUUAGUCAUGUGUUGUCCAGGGAUGUGGGAGUGAUGAUCAAUUAUGUGUGCCAUUGAGUGUUAUUAUGAGCCCGACACAAGUCAUAGUUAUUGCCUUUGUGGUUUAAAUACCUGCCUUUUUAAAGUAAUAAACUUUACUUUAUAACUCAA